AUUACUUUGGCAGAUUAGUGCUUUAGAUUUAGAAUUUAAAUAAAUAUUAUUUUUAAUAUAGGUAAUA
rnacentral:tRNA from 1 species